rnacentral:siRNA from 1 species
GUCACAAGAACAUAGGACCUACAC